GCAGACCUCGACACUGAUAGAUGUGCUUGAUUAGCAUUACAAUAGUAUUACAAUCUCGACGAAAUAAAAAAAAUAAACAUUCUAUAAAGUUACAUUAGAAUAAGGAUAACAUUGUACAAUUAAACGAUGAAGAAAGUGAGUGUAAUAUAUAUAUGAAUUGAAGCUAUAAACUUUAGUAGAUCUUAUCGCGCAAAUGCCGAUCAUCCUGCUAGUUUGUUUGCAAGACAGUAAGGAAAUACCUAUGUCAAAUUAUGCCUACACAAGGAUUAAAACCUUGGUCAAUGGAGUUGUUUGCCCCCAUAACUCCAUCACCACACCUACAAUACUUCUCCGUAAAAUUAAGGUGCAAACUUUGUACUUGGCUCUGCUCAAAUCCUAGCAACAAGGAGGGUCGUGUCUCGGGUCUGAAACAUAUAUAUAACUCCAAGUCAGAUUAAAUCGUGGACGUGAGAGAAAAUGAUAGGAGAGUAUAUAUGCUCAUCAGUUUAAUUAAUUAGCGUAGCUUCUCUAGUAGUCUAGUUCCUGGUGAUAACACAUUAACACUUGAAUAAACUGCACAUAUCAGAAUAUAUAUAGAUCCAUUUACUACACAAACAAUAAGUUCUGGAUCAUAUUAUAACUGGGGUAUUUUUAUUAUUCUUGAAAAUUAAAGGUACCGAGACCUAGAGAUACCAUUUUUUUAAUGUAAAGCUUAGUACAUCCAUGAACUAGCUAGAUAUCUCAAGUUAAAACUUUUAGUAUAAAAAUUUGAUACCUUCAUGUAUUUUUUUUAAUAAAAGGACUAUAAAAUUAAUCUCUCUUAGCUUACGACUUACCCCACAAAGGAUUACCGCCACCCGAGCUGAUACGAUUUUGUAGGAUUCGACGAGACCGUGUCGAUUUGCUUGGAGCUAAGAGGAGAUGGCCUUCAUGCUUCUCCCUGCCCAUGAUCAGUAGCUCGGCAGAAUUGCCUCCGGUGGCGAGCGUACAUGGCAGAAAUGGCAUAAUCUGCAGUAGUAAAAGGGACAUCACUAGAGCUGCCUGCAACCUGAUGCGAAGCCUAGCAGCUCCCAUCGAA
rnacentral:lncRNA from 1 species